AGGUAGAGUACUCGGCUUUUAA
rnacentral:tRNA from 1 species